GACGAACGCUGGCGGCGUGCUUAACACAUGCAAGUCGAACGAAGAGCGACGGAAGCUUGCUUCUAUCAAUCUUAGUGGCGAACGGGUGAGUAACGCGUAAUCAACCUGCCCUUCAGAGGGGGACAACAGUUGGAAACGACUGCUAAUACCGCAUACGAUCUAAUCUCGGCAUCGAGGAUGGAUGAAAGGUGGCCUCUACAUGUAAGCUAUCACUGAAGGAGGGGAUUGCGUCUGAUUAGCUAGUUGGAGGGGUAACGACCCACCAAGGCGAUGAUCAGUAGCCGGUCUGAGAGGAUGAACGGCCACAUUGGGACUGAGACACGGCCCAGACUCCUACGGGAGGCAGCAGUGGGGAAUCUUCCGCAAUGGACGAAAGUCUGACGGAGCAACGCCGCGUGAGUGAUGACGGCCUUCGGGUUGUAAAGCUCUGUUAAUCGGGACGAAAGGCCUUCUUGCGAAUAGUGAGAAGGAUUGACGGUACCGGAAUAGAAAGCCACGGCUAACUACGUG
rnacentral:rRNA from 1 species